rnacentral:lncRNA from 1 species
AUGGCAGCAGCUGGGCCAUCUGCUGGCUCAGGCCCCCUGCAGCCCGUCAUGCCAACUGUAGAUCCAUUUGAAGACAUUAGUAUAAGGACUCAGAGGUUGGUUGAUUUGUUUGCAGUGGAUCCUGGCUGUGAUAAGGAAGUGUUAGCCCUCUCAGGCAGAUUUCUUGGAGACAAUAAAACUCCUGGGGAAACUACAGAAGAGACAUUGACUAGUAUUCUGGAUGUUACUGCCCUGGAUUGCAUUUACAGUGCUGAUAAAGGAGACCCACUGGAGAGUGAGAGACUAACCCAAAGAAAUUGGAUAAAUUCUUGUGGUCAGCCCCACCACCAUGGAAAACAUCUCUAACCCUUAUGUUGAAAUGAGGCAAGAGGUUAGGAGAUGUUAGCGUGGAAGUAGGGCCACAGGUGCCCCAUAUUAAAGUGGACUCCUUUAGGGGGCCAGCCCUGUGGCGUAGUGGUUAAGUUUGCUCACUCCACUUUAGCAGCCCAGGAUUCACAGAUUUGGAUCCUGGGUGCAGACCUAUACACCACUCAUCAGGCCAUGGUGUGGUGGCAUCCCACAUACAAACUAGAAGAAGACUGGCACAGAUGUUAGCCCAGGGACAAUUUUCCUCAAGCAAAAUUUUGGAGGAUUGGCCACAGAUGUUAGCUCAGGGCCCAUCUUCCUCACCCAAAACAAAAACAAGUGGACUGCUUUAAAAAGUUGCUGCUGCUGGAGACAAGCAUGAGUCAGCCAGAGGGUGCAAACCUAGUGGUCACAGAGGCUGGAAAGCAAUGUGGACUGUGCUGCUGAGUCAAUGGGUUCCGUGGUACAAGCAAAAGGAUCUCAUCACCCAAGACAGAAUACUGGGUGGGAUGAAAACAUUCAAAGCUCAUGGCUGAACCAAAGGUGCUGCCACACCGCUCAAAAGUGAAGAAAUACCAUCUCUUGCAGGAUUGCUCCUUCGUGGAUUCUCUUCGCCCCUCUAAGGCAGCAGCAUGUUCAUUGGACUUUCAAAGUUUUAGAGAAACACCCUCUUUGCGCAGCCACUUUCCACCUUGAGAAACUUGUGAGUUUCGUGAAACAAAGGAAGCCCCUUGCAUCAGUCCUCCUGGGAGUCUCUAGACAAGUCAAAACAAAGAGUAUUCCUUGGGAACAAGGUCCAUUCUGCUCCCUCUAGAACCAGACACCCCAACAAUUCCAUAGGCUGCGGUUUUCAAGACCACUACUGACUGGGAGGAUGAUGGAGGAAGCCUAAGAUAAAAUGCCAUUAAGCUAUCUUUUUUCUUGUUUAAGCAUUCACUUGGUUGCUUUAAAUCUUUCACUAUUUUCCAGCCUUUAGACAAAAUUAAUUCUGACAGUUUUUAUAGUGUUUCGGGGGGCGGGGGGUAGGUCCUUAGAGUUCCUCAUUCUGCAAUUUUCAUUGACAUAUAUGCAUAAUUUUAAAUGGAAGUAGACACAUGAACAUUUGGGUUAAUGUGACAUGAUUUUCAUAUUAUAGUCUGAAUGUAUUAUGUUUUAUUAAAACUUUGUAAAUAAAACACUUUAUAAAUCCUCAAGACUGUUUAUAUGAUAUAAACAUUUGCAUAUAUUUCAAAAAUAUAAGUAGAUUUUUCAAAAGUAUGAAAAAUUCAUAAGUGACAUGCUUAUGAAUUAUAUAAGGGAAUUCAGGGGCUAAAAUAUACAUAUUUAUAUCCUUUGAGUGUGACUAGCUACCAUGCUCCCCCUUUUCCUACUAUGAGAAAAAUAUUACUAGAUAUAUUAUUGGUCUGACUCAUUAUAGCUUCUUGGUGGAGUAUGAAAAAUAUCUUGUUUUAAUAUUUUAAACUUAAUGUUAAUAACCUUUGUGGACUCUGAGGAACAUUAGGUCUCCAAGGGUCCAUUCAAAUGUUUUGUUCCUAGAU